UUAACAAAAACAUGUCCUUUUGAUUUUUAUUUAAGGUCUAAUCUGCUCAAUGAUAUUUAAAUUGCCGCAGUAUUUUAACUGUGCGAAGGUAGCAUAAUAAUUAGUUUCUUAAUUAGGAGCUGGAAUGAAUGAUUGGACGAGAAAAUUUCUGUCUCAUUUUAAUGUUUUAUUGAAUUUUAUUUUUAAGUUAAAAAGCUUAAAUUUCUAUGAAAGACGAGAAGACCCUAUAGAGUUUAAUAUUAAAAAUUAAUUAUAUUUUAGAAACCAAUUUUAUUUUUUAGUAUUUAGUUGGGGUUACUUGGAGAUUUAUUAAAUUCUCUAAAUUUUUAAUUGAUGAUAUUUAAUUUUUAAAUCUGUAAAUUAUAAAUUUAAAAUUAAUUACCUUAGGGAUAACAGCGUAAUUUUUCUUAAAAGUUCUUAUUUAAAGAAGAUUUUGCGACCUCGAUGUUGGAUUAAAAUAAAUUUUUGGUGCAGUUACUUAAAAAUUAGGUCUGUUCGACCUUUAAAAUUUUACAUGAUCUGAGUUUAAACCGGUGUAAGCCAGGUUGGAUUCUAUCUUUAGAAAAUUAAUACAUUUUAGUACGAAAGGACCAAGUGUUUAUUAUAUAUUAAUUG
rnacentral:rRNA from 1 species